rnacentral:piRNA from 1 species
UUUAUCAAAGCAUGGUACCU